rnacentral:rRNA from 1 species
UACGAGAGGUGCAAGCGUUAUUCGGAAUUAUUGGGCGUAAAGGGCGCGUAGGCGGUUCUAUAAGUUUUUUGUUUAAGGCUCCGGCCUAACUGGAGAAAUGCAAAAAAGACUGUAGAGCUAGAGUAUAAUAGAGAGAAGUGGAAUUUUCGGAGUAGCGGUUAAAUGCGUAGAUCUCGAAAGGAACGCCAAUGGCGAAGGCAGCUUCUUGGAUUAUUACUGACGCUGAGGCGCGAAGGCGUGGGGAGCAAACAGG